rnacentral:rRNA from 1 species
GACGAACGCUGGCGGCGUGCUUAACACAUGCAAGUCGAACGCUGAAGACCUGGCUUUUGUUGGGUUGGCUGAGUGGCUAACGGGUGAGUAACACGUGAGUGACCUGCCCUCUUCUUUGGGAUAACGCCCGGAAACGGGUGCUAAUACUGGAUAUUCACUGAUCUUCGCAUGUUGGUUGGUGGAAGGGUUUGUUCUGGUGGGGGAUGGCCUCGCGGCCUAUCAGCUUGGUGGUGGGGUGAUGGCCUACCAAGGCCUUGCCGGGUAGCCGGCCUGAGAGGGUGACCGGUCACAGUGGGACUGCGAUACGGCCCAGACGACUACGGGAGGCAGCAGUGGGGAAUAUUGCACAAUGGGCGAAAGCCUGAUGCAGCGACGCCGCGUGAGGGAUGGAGGCCGUCGGGUUGUAAACCUCUUUCGCUCAUGGUCAAGCCGCAACUGUGGGUUGUGGUGAGGGUAGUGGGUAAAGAAGCGCCGGCUAACUACGUG